rfam:Anaerotruncus colihominis DSM 17241 Scfld_02_2 genomic scaffold, whole genome shotgun sequence.
GGCCCGUUGGUCAAGCGGUUAAGACACCGGCCUCUCACGCCGGUAACGCGGGUUCGAUUCCCGCACGGGUCA